rnacentral:lncRNA from 1 species
GCCAUCGAACAACAUCCGGUUUCUCAUCCUCCCAGGAGCAACCCGCGAUACAUUUUGGAAUAGACUGUACAUAAAUAAUUUACAUAUUGGCAUCAUAGCAUCAUAACACAGGUAACAACAUAAAGAUGGGGAAAACAAAGAAAUGGAGUCAAGAUUUGCGUGAAAAGGUCAUAAAAUUGCACAAAGCUGACGAGGGAUACAAGAAAAUUAGUUCCCGAUUGCAGAUUCCUGUUUCAACAGUAAAAAAAAAUCAUUCGGAAAUGAAAGUGCCAUGGUACUAUAACAAAUUUAACACAUGCAGGUCGCCCAUCAUUAUUAGCGAGUUUGCGCAAAGGUAUUUUCCGUCAUGGUUACAAUGUUAUAUAC